rnacentral:rRNA from 1 species
GAGUUUGAUCGUGGCUCAGAUUGAACGCUGGCGGCAUGCCUUACACAUGCAAGUCGAACGGCAGCACGGGAGCUUGCUCCUGGUGGCGAGUGGCGAACGGGUGAGUAAUGCAUCGGAACGUAUCCUGGAGUGGGGGAUAACGUAGCGAAAGUCACGCUAAUACCGCAUAUUCUGUGAGCAGGAAAGCGGGGGACCUUCGGGCCUCGCGCUCUUGGAGCGGCCGAUGUCGGAUUAGCUAGUUGGUGAGGUAAAGGCUCACCAAGGCGACGAUCCGUAGCAGGUCUGAGAGGAUGAUCUGCCACACUGGAACUGAGACACGGUCCAGACUCCUACGGGAGGCAGCAGUGGGGAAUUUUGGACAAUGGGGGCAACCCUGAUCCAGCCAUGCCGCGUGAGUGAAGAAGGCCUCGGUGUAAGAUACUUCGUCGAGGAGAAGUAG